CGGCUGCGCGGCCCGUUGGCGCGCACGUGAGGUUUGGAUGGCGCCUGCGGACGCUCGGCGAGCACCGGGGCUGAUUGCGUUGCUCCCCGACGUCUUCCCUUGCCGGCCUCAUUUGCAGCGGGCGCCUUCGAGUUUUCCUCCAUGAUAGUGGGAGUGUUGCCUGCUUUGUUUGGAAUUCAUCAGUUGAUGGACAUCUAGGCUGUUUCCGUUUCCUGACUGUUGUGAAUAGGACAGCAUGAACAUGGGAUGACAUUUCCCUCCUGGCUGGCGCUGCUUUUCCCCUGAAGUCUGUCCUCUGCGACAAGAAAGUCUGUGGACUUGGCCAGCCUGAGGUCAGUCUGAUGCAUGGUGUGGAUUGGGGCCUGCAAAAGAAGACAAAAUGUAAAGGUGUGUACCAACACCAUCCAGCAGGAUUGUUAUUCUGAUAGGGUGUUUUUGGCCACAUGAAAGUAAAAGCUAUUAGCUUUUAAAGAGGUAUGUAAUUGCACAGACUCCUAGUGUCUCUCUUAACGAAGACAUGAAUGACAUCGCACGCACAUCGCAUGACAACAACAGUAACAGCCCUUCUCCCCCAGAUCUGGCUCUUACCUUUGACCUCAGCAGGAGACCAGGGACUAGUUAACUUUAUCAAGCCAAGGCCUGCACAGAGCCAUGCUAUGAGUACAUUGCAUUCUUACAGAGCCAGCAGUUUGAGAAAGUCUUAAGUUUCCUUUCCGUAUAGAACCCAACAAGGAAAAGGCCAUGUCAUGUGGUCAGUAAGUUUUAAAUCAUUAUGAAAAACAGCUUUAUCUAUUAUCAAUGAUUCCAAAAGAAAAUGUAAUUGAGAGUGGUGAUGGAUUUGGGUGUGCCCAAGGAAAAGAAAAUUGCCUGUAAUAUUAGGAAAUUCAAGAUAACCAUCUGUGGCUUGAUGGAGGGGGUAUAACAUAAAGAUAUAUGAAGCCAUUUGUAAAACUAAUUUCUCUUCCCAUUUAAUCUCUUGUUGCCUCAGAAAAUGCGGCUAGUAAUUAAGAUACCAUUUUGGUGUUGCUUGUAAAUGCUGCCACCUCCAUUAAACUUCAUACUUGUGAAAAGGAGCUAUUAAAAGGCAGCCUAAGGCAACACUUUUGAAUAGCUAACUUUGUUAAAAAUAUGUUUUCCAAAUUUCUUGCAAUAAAAUGUAAUUGCAUUUUCUGUUUUCACUUGCCUAGCCUCUUCUCACAUGCUCCCCAGUCUGGGUGCUUGAGGGAGGGUUUGUCAGACUGGAGUAACAGAGUAACUGGUGAAUCCCCCCUUCCUACCAUUCAUAAUUUACAAGUUUGUGAUUUCUCUGCUAUACUUUCUUUUAAUAGUUCACUUAUUAGGUUAAGGAAUGACAGAAGAGAGAUUUCAGAGUGAAUGCUAUUCAGUGUCACUGUGUAAAAGUUACCCAGAGUUGCAAGGAAGUGAUGGGUAAAUCAUCCACAGCUUCACUGGGCACCAGACAGCCCCAGGAAAUCUGUGAAGGCAGGAAAUCUGGGAGCAGGUAGGGAGGGAAGGGAGACACAGGGGAGAGCUGUCCUGUUGUUUAUUUUGGGUGAUGCACAGUCACGGCUCAUGAAAACAUGCCCUGGUCUGUAAAAUCUGGCGUAAUCAUGUUUGUUGUUGUAGAUGUGAAUAGCAAACUUCUGAGGUAACUUCAUGUCAUGGUCAGAGUUUUCCCUUUCAAACUUGAAGUGCUUGUUUCUGUGACACAUCUGUAAUGACUAAAAGCAGUGGGUUGUUUUAGACAAAAUAUUGUCACAACCUUUAAGUAUCCUGUAUCUGUCUGCCUGAAGACCAUCAGUCACAUCUCUGUCAUAACUUUAAAAACUGACAGGGGACUAGAGAUGGUUCAGUGGGUAAAGACACUUGCCACCAUGCCUGGUCAUCAAUCCCUGGGACUCACAUGGCAGAGAGAGAGAGAGACAGAGACAGAGACAGAGAGACAGAGACAGAGAGAGAGAGAGAGAGAGACAGAGAGCGAGCACACCAAUGCCCACGGAUUGCCCUCUGAUUUCCACACACAUGCAGUGGCGCGUGCACUCUUAUAUGUGCAUUCAUAUUUAAAUUUAAAACAAAAGGAAUGCUGGGCUGGGGAGAUGUCUCAGUUUGUAAAGUGCUUUCUGUGCAGACAUGUGGACCUUAAUCAAUCCCUAGUACUGAAAUAAAAAGCCAGCUGUGGUGGUGUGAGCUGUAAUCCCAGUGUUGGGGAGGCAGCAACAGGAGGAUUGUGGGAACACCAGACCUUGA